CUCGUAGGCGGUUCGUCGCGUCCGGUGUGAAAGUCCAUCGCUUAACGGUGGAUCUGCGCCGGGUACGGGCGGGCUGGAGUGCGGUAGGGGAGACUGGAAUUCCCGGUGUAACGGUGGAAUGUGUAGAUAUCGGGAAGAACACCAAUGGCGAAGGCAGGUCUCUGGGCCGUUACUGACGCUGAGGAGCGAAAGCGUGGGGAGCGAAUA
rnacentral:rRNA from 1 species